UCCUAUGUAUACAUUUGAAGGAAAUGAGCACUCACACUAUGCUGUGGGUGCUACAGUUCCCAGGGAACAGCAUAGUGUGAGUGCUCAUUUCCUUCAAAUGUAUACAUAGGA